rnacentral:rRNA from 1 species
AUUGAACGCUGGCGGCAUGCUUUACACAUGCAAGUCGAACGGCAGCACGGACUUCGGUCUGGUGGCGAGUGGCGAACGGGUGAGUAAUACAUCGGAACGUACCCAGUAAUGGGGGAUAACUAUCCGAAAGGAUAGCUAAUACCGCAUACGCCCUACGGGGGAAAGAGGGGGAUCGCAAGACCGCUUUUUAUUGGAGCGGCCGAUGGCUGAUUAGGUAGUUGGUGGGGUAAAGGCCUACCAAGGCAACGAUCAGUAGCGGGUCUUAGAGGACGAUCCGCCACACUGGAACUGAGACACGGUCCAGACUCCUACGGGAGGCAGCAGUGGGGAAUCUUGGACAAUGGGCGCAAGCCUGAUCCAGCAAUGCCGCGUGCGUGAAGAAGGCCUUCGGGUUGUAAAGCGCUUUUGUCAGGGAGCAAAUCCUUGUGGCUAAUACCCACCGGGGAUGAGAGUACCUGAAGAAUAAGGACCGGCUAACUACGUGCCAGCCGCCGCGGUAA